rnacentral:lncRNA from 1 species
CUCUGGAAUUGGCCUGGCCUGAGGUUGCCAGACCCUGGAAGCAGAGGCGAACUCAAGGCCAAAACUCUAAAAAAACACCCCUGAGCCAAUAGACGAUGACCCACAGCUUUCAUCCCAGCAGUUGGGAGAGGCAGAGGCAGGUGAAUCUUUGACUUCAAGGCUAAACUGAUCUACAGAGCAAGUUCCAGGACAGUCAGGACUACACAGAGAAACCCUGUCUCCAAACCAAACAAACCCAGGGCAGAUUGGUGAGAUAUCCAAAUCUCAAAUCUAGAGAUCCACCUGCUUCCAUCUCCCUAGUACUGGCAAUAAACGGCCUGACCUGAGUUUUUUUUUUUUUGUUGUUUUUGUUUUUGUUUUUGUUUUUUUUGUUUUGUUUUGUUUCUUUUUCUGUUUAGUCUCCACUGUCCUGGAACUGUCCUGACUCUGUAGACCAGGCUGGCUUUGAACUCACAGAGAUCCACCUGCCACUGCAUCCCGAGUGCUAGCAUUAAAGCCAUUUGCUGUCACCACCCAGCUGUCCAAUAUUAGUUCUCAAUGCCACCCAACUCGUCCAAGCCUAGAAGCUUAAUAUCUAUCAUCUCCCACUUUGCUGGAUCCUCUGGAUCAGCUCACACUGAGUGGUUCCAACCGGCUUCAUGAGGUUGUAAUGAAGUGUUCACAGGAACAGCAGACAUCUGAAGACUCUGCAGCAGCAGGCAGGCUCCUGUCCAAGCUGCCUGUUCACAGGGCUUUCUGCAGAGAACCUCAGUUUCUCACCACAGCAGCCUGUCCACAGGCUCUCUACAGGUCAGCUGGUUUCUUUUCAAACCAGUGAGCCAAGAGAACAAGACAGGCAAAAGCCGCACAGCUUUUAGACUUCAUCUUGAACUCACGCUUUCCCAAUGUGUUUCCAGAGAUGUGAGAACUGCCCCAGGAUCUAUCUUGCAACCUGAGUGAGUCACUGUUUCCUGCCAUCUACACCACUGAGUCAAUUGGCCACUGAUGACAGCCCAGUCCUGUAUGCCACUGCGCAGUAAAGGGUUGACUUAGCAGACCUGGAUUGCUCAAACCCUGCACAUUCCAGACAGACCUGGCCAUUUCCCGUGAUUCUGGGGGAUCAUCUCUAAACCUUGGAAUGCCCUGCCUAGUAAAUCUUGUGUACCUGGUAGGCUAUGUCAACAAUAUUAGUGAUAGCAUGAACCUUAGGUCACACUAUCAAAUUGAUCUCUAGGGCAGCUGGAGACUAAGUUCAUUAAGUUAAGUUGCUAUAUGUUUCUGUUGCUGCUUUCCAAAUAAAAACCCUGGAGAAGCCAAACCUAGGGUGAUGUCCUCUUGUUUGACUUGUUUGUAUAAACUUCUCCUGGAAAGGAACAAAAUGUCUUCACCCAUGAGAGAGCACCCGGGAGAGACCAAAAAAAUUAUUCCAGGACGUUCAAAGUGUCUCAGCAUGUAAAGGAG